GACGAACGCUGGCGGCGUGCUUAACACAUGCAAGUCGAACGGAAAGGCCCUGCUUUUGUGGGGUGCUCGAGUGGCGAACGGGUGAGUAACACGUGAGUAACCUGCCCUUGACUUUGGGAUAACUUCAGGCAACUGGGGCUAAUACCGGCUAGGAGCUCCUGCUGCAUGGUGGGGGUUGGAAAGUUACGGGGGUUGGGGACGGACUCGCGGCUUAUCAGCUUGUUGGUGGGGUAGUGGCUUACCAAGGCUUUGAUGGGUAGCCGGCCUGAGAGGGUGACCGGCCACAUUGGGACUGAGAUACGGCCCAGACUCCUACGGGAGGCAGCAGUGUGGAAUAUAGCACAAUGGGCGGAAGCCUGAUGCAGCAACGCCGCGUGCGGGAUGACGGCCUUCGGGUUGUAAACCGCGUUCGCCUGUGACAAAGCGUGAGUGACGGUAAUGGGUAAAGAAGCACCGGCUAACUACGUG
rnacentral:rRNA from 1 species